UGCGUAGGCGGCCAAUAAAGUCUAGGGUGAAAGGCUACGGCUCAACCGUAGUAAGCCUGGAAAUUUAUUGGCUUGAGUGCAGGAGAGGAGAGUGGAAUUCCUAGUGUAGCGGUGAAAUGCGUAGAUAUUAGGAGGAACACCAGUGGCGAAGGCGACUCUCUGGACUGUAACUGACGCUGAGGCACGAAAGCGUGGGGAGCGAACA
rnacentral:rRNA from 1 species